rnacentral:rRNA from 1 species
UGAGGAUAACCGCGAUAAGUCACUACUUCUGGAAUGGGUAAUGACUCAAAUCUACAUGGCCCCUGGAUUGGACUGCGGCCGAUCAGGCUGUUGGUGAGGUAAUGGCCCACCAAACCUGUAACCGGUACGGGCUCUGAGAGGAGGAGCCCGGAGAUGGGCACUGAGACAAGGGCCCAGGCCCUAUGGGGCGCAGCAGGCGCGAAACCUCUGCAAUAGGCGAAAGCCUGACAGGGUUACUCUGAGUGAUUUCCGUUAAGGAGAUCUUUUGGCACCUCUAAAAAUGGUGCAGAAUAAGGGGUGGGCAAGUCUGGUGUCAGCCGCCGCGGUAAUACCAGCACCCCGAGUGGUCGGGACGUUUAUUGGGCCUAAAGCAUCCGUAGCCGGUUCUACAAGUCUUCCGUUAAAUCCACCUGCUUAACAGAUGGGCUGCGGAAGAUACUAUAGAGCUAGGAGGCGGGAGAGGCAAGCGGUACUCGAUGGGUAGGGGUAAAAUCCGUUGAUCCAUUGAAGACCACCAGUGGCGAAGGCGGCUUGCCAGAACGCGCUCGACGGUGAGGGAUGAAAGCUGGGGGAGCAAACCGGAUUAGAUACCCGGGUAGUCCCAGCUGUAAACGAUGCAGACUCGGUGAUGAAUUGGCUUUAUGCCAAUUCAGUGCCGCAGGGAAGCCGUUAAGUUUGCCGCC